UGUCUUAAAAAAAAUAUCUCUCUCUCUCUCUCUCUCUCUCUCUCUCGGUCACAUCUCUCUCUCCCGAUCCCCUUCUCUCUCUCGACCGCCGCCAAUGUCGCCGGCCUCCUCCGCCGUCUAGCGUCGCCCUGGAACCCCCAUGCGACGCUGCUAAUGCUCCACCGCUUCGUUUCGUCCCUCGCGUCCUGUGCUGUAGCCCGCGCUCUCGCCGUCGCCAUCGGCGCCAUGGACGGCGGCAGCUCCGGUGCUUCUCGUGCUCCUGUCCGACGCCUCAGCGCCUCCGGCAUCGCCGGCUCACCCUGCCUAUGGUUUUCUGGUGCGGUGGUUACCCCACGGCGGCCGGUGGUUGCCCCACGCAACUCCGGCGACCGCUGACUCUCUGCAUCGGCUACAAUCCCGGUUUGGUGAGCUUCUCCUACUCUGCUCCACAAAUGUCUUGGCCAUGGCCGCAGCUGUAUCGAUAAACUGCUACUGGUGAUGUCUUUGGAUGAUUUAGAGUGUUCUGAUGUUGCUCUAAAUUACUGUUAUCUCUCCAGUUGCUCCUGUUUAUGUUCUGGUCUAUGCCCUGGACUUGUGGAUUUGGUUUAAUCCAGUUCCUUUUGAUCUACGGGUCCAUGUUCUAGUUCUAGUUCAUGCUUAAGGACUGAUUAUUGUGGAGUUGGUGCUGCCUCGGAUCCUUGGUGCACUUAUGGUUAUGUUGUUGCUCUGUAUAGCUUCUAGUUUGGGUUUUCUACAAAUCCAAGGGCUUGUGGUUAUUAUUUAUUUUGAUCAUUUGCUACUGUUGUGUAACACUGAAUGGAUCAGUGGCAUGAGCUAUUGGUUAGUUACCUACGACGAGCUAUUGGCCUGAGAGCCUAGAGAAGGGAGGUACGGACGAGCACCUCUACGACGUCGCCUCCAUCGUUGCUCUCGGUGAUCCAGAAUUUGGCUUCCUUCCUUGUUGUAGCAACUGGGCCUUCUGCUGCUCCUAGCUCGAUCUCCACCCUGCUAUCGCCAUCAAUGUCCCCAUUCUCUGCCCUUGUCCUCCUCUGCCAGCAGCUCCCGAGACUUGCUAACGGCCUCGGAACAACAAACACAAGGGAAGAGGCUCAAUGGUAAAGAGGGGGCAGAGAGCUAUCUGCGAGGCCUACAGCGGGCAGCAACACCAGCAGGCGUUUGGUUUUGCGCAGCCGCAGGUGCUGGACAGGAGCAGCAGAGCGCGUUUGACGGCAUGCUGGAUCUGCUCCUGGUCCGCGUGAGAAGGCCGCCAAGAACGUCCACACCAAGCAAGGGCAAGCAAAAGGAGAAUGUGAACAACGUGAUGAUGUUCCACCAGGCCACCUACGACAAGCUGCUCAGUGAGUGAAUGGGAUGUAAAUAUCCGAAGAGACAAGUAUGCAUCUUGGACACUUACUGGCAUAUGUUAUCAUUGCUGAGAAUGAAGCUAUCGAAAGGGAGCGUUACAAAUUGAUGCUGCAGGGACAGGGAGGGGGCUAAUUUGAUGAUGGUUAGGACGGCAACGAAAUCUCCUAUGCUGGAGAUGGACUCGCUGUCGCCACGGAAGGUUGUAUAUCAAAGGGCUCCGGGCGGGAAUACUGAUGGUUGGAGCUUUGUCGGUGUCUUAUAUUAUUGCAGUAUAGAGCCUGUAUAUCGGAGCUUGUCGUUUGGGUUGCUAUAUAAUUAAUGUGAUGUUGUUGUGGAGAGUGCUACUCGUCUUAGGUUUUCCUUGUUUUGUAUCCACACAGGUGAUGCCACGCGGCAAGGUCCUGCUUCUUUGAGGAGUAGUGUAUAUAGGAGAGGUGCAUUUCGGAAUUGAGGAAAGAUAUGCUUGUUGCAGCUGUGUUUCAUAUAUCAGGCUAAUGUAAAUUUUGAAGUUUAUUAUGAGCACUUGACUUGUUUAAGAAAAAUGUAAAAUCAACCA